rnacentral:rRNA from 2 species
CCUGUGAGGGUUGCUGGAGGUAUCAGAAGUGCGAAUGCUGACAUAAGUAACGAUAAAGCGGGUGAAAAGCCCGCUCGCCGGAAGACCAAGGGUUCCUGUCCAACGUUAAUCGGGGCAGGGUGAGUCGACCCCUAAGGCGAGGCCGAAAGGCGUAGUCGAUGGGAAACGGGUUAAUAUUCCCGUACUUGGUGUUACUGCGAAGGGGGGACGGAGAAGGCUAUGUUGGCCGGGCGACGGUUGUCCCGGUUUAAGCGUGUAGGUGUGUGUUCCAGGUAAAUCCGGUUCACUUUAACACUGAGGCGUGAUGACGAGGCACUACGGUGCUGAAGCAACAAAUGCCCUGCUUCCAGGAAAAGCCUCUAAGCAUCAGGUAACAUCAAAUCGUACCCCAAACCGACACAGGUGGUCAGGUAGAGAAUACCAAGGCGCUUGAGAGAACUCGGGUGAAGGAACUAGGCAAAAUGGUGCCGUAACUUCGGGAGAAGGCACGCUGACACGUAGGUGAAGUGAUUUACUCAUGGAGCUGAAGUCAGUCGAAGAUACCAGCUGGCUGCAACUGUUUAUUAAAAACACAGCACUGUGCAAACACGAAAGUGGACGUAUACGGUGUGACGCCUGCCCGGUGCCGGAAGGUUAAUUGAUGGGGUCAGCGCAAGCGAAGCUCCUGAUCGAAGCCCCGGUAAACGGCGGCCGUAACUAUAACGGUCCUAAGGUAGCGAAAUUCCUUGUCGGGUAAGUUCCGACCUGCACGAAUGGCGUAAUGAUGGCCAGGCUGUCUCCACCCGAGACUCAGUGAAAUUGAACUCGCUGUGAAGAUGCAGUGUACCCGCGGCAAGACGGAAAGACCCCGUGAACCUUUACUAUAGCUUGACACUGAACAUUGAGCCUUGAUGUGUAGGAUAGGUGGGAGGCUUUGAAGUGUGGACGCCAGUCUGCAUGGAGCCGACCUUGAAAUACCACCCUUUAAUGUUUGAUGUUCUAACGUGGACCCGUAAUCCGGGUUGCGGACAGUGUCUGGUGGGUAGUUUGACUGGGGCGGUCUCCUCCUAAAGAGUAACGGAGGAGCACGAAGGUUGGCUAAUCCUGGUCGGACAUCAGGAGGUUAGUGCAAUGGCAUAAGCCAGCUUGACUGCGAGCGUGACGGCGCGAGCAGGUGCGAAAGCAGGUCAUAGUGAUCCGGUGGUUCUGAAUGGAAGGGCCAUCGCUCAACGGAUAAAAGGUACUCCGGGGAUAACAGGCUGAUACCGCCCAAGAGUUCAUAUCGACGGCGGUGUUUGGCACCUCGAUGUCGGCUCAUCACAUCCUGGGGCUGAAGUAGGUCCCAAGGGUAUGGCUGUUCGCCAUUUAAAGUGGUACGCGAGCUGGGUUUAGAACGUCGUGAGACAGUUCGGUCCCUAUCUGCCGUGGGCGCUGGAGAACUGAGGGGGGCUGCUCCUAGUACGAGAGGACCGGAGUGGACGCAUCACUGGUGUUCGGGUUGUCAUGCCAAUGGCACUGCCCGGUAGCUAAAUGCGGAAGAGAUAAGUGCUGAAAGCAUCUAAGCACGAAACUUGCCCCGAGAUGAGUUCUCCCUGAGACUU